GUCCCCGUUCUCGCAGCCGGAGCCUCUUCGGCGCGCGCCCCGCGCUCCCCGCAGCCGCCAACAGUGGCAGCUGCAGCAACUGGAGCAGGCGCGGGCUCAAGCCGCCCGAAGCGAGAGGGGAGGAGGCUUACCAGGCUGGCCACGGCUUGGGGCUGAGUAGGGGCCGCAGGUCUUUUGGAAGUGGUCGGGCAUGCGGCCCCCCACCACUCAGGACACAGAGUAUAGCGCCCCCAGCCCAGAUGCAGGAUUUAGCAGGUGUUGCGCCCCCUUAAGCUCAGCGGGGUACCAGAAGGGAAAGCCACCAGGUGCCUGAGGAACCCCUAAUGGGGAGGGGAGGAGUGGUUGGCUGUCGGCUCCAUUCAAUGGGCUUAUUAUUGCCCCUAGAUCCUCAGGCUUGGAGACUAAGGAAGACCCUAGUGAGCACAGUACGCGUGCUGACUGAUAGUUCAUUCACACUUUCGUUUCCUAGGUGCCACAGCGUGCGUUGCUGAUGAACAGGGGCAUCUGAAAGUCUGUUGGUAGUCUAUGACCUCUGACAGCUGCAGCUCUUCUAUCAAGCCCCGUCUUGGUGACACUGUACGGAGACAGAUGGGCAGGUAUGCAUCCAUGGCUUUUAUUUCAAGACAUAUUCUAUCUAAAGUCAAUGGCUCAGAUGGGAAUUCUAGCCCCUCUGUUAUGUGUUUAGAAGCCCAGUGCUUCUUAAUCUGCUAGCCUAUCGAGAUGGCUGUCCAUUAAAUCCAAUGGUCCAUCAUAGGCUGGGACCUCCUGAAAUGGCUUUCCAUUAAAGGCAUGGGAGUACUUGAGUCCAUUUGAGAACCAAUCUAAAGGGUACAGAAUUUAUCUUUCCCAUCAUACAGUCCAGAGGGCUCUGCCCCCUCUUUCCUAGCUUCUUCCACAGAGACUUGUGAGAGAACUCCUGGAGCAGAGUUGGCAGACAGAGAAAUCCUCUGGAGAUACAGCACACCCUUCCUUCCAGGCCAGCACAAGCAUGGCUGGUAGCCGACCCAUGCGGUUGGACACCACCAUGGACUCUUCAUAGACUCCUAGAUUGAAUACAAACAGUUCCUAGAGACCACUCUCUCCUGUUUUUUCCCCAUUGCUCAGGUCACACCGGUUCUCAGCCAACACCCUUAAUUCACUUCAAAAGGAAUUCCUGGACACCACAUCUUCACCAAUCAGCACUGCUACACAUAGAAAACAAAAGUACACGAUGGGAGUAAAAAAGCUGCCAUAAUGAGAAGAAUGAUGUCAUUGCAUGAGAACUUGGUGCUGAGCAUGAAACCCUUUACCCUGAGGCAAAGACCAACUUGGGGGCAACUGGCUUUAGGAGAACUGGAUGGGAUGCACUGUUCUCAUUUAGUUCCAAAAUGGGAAUAUAUGAUGAAAUCAUCCUUCAUGUGUUGGCCCUGGGGUGAACUUUCCUACUGGGUUGAAUUCUUAUCCGGUCCACUCUGCAGAUGUAGAAGGUGGGGCGCUAGAAUUUAAAAGCAAAUACUUCAUCUAGACUCAGAGAGAGCUGCUGCUCACACAAGUGCUUAAGGUCAGUACACAGCGUGCCUGGUAGUCACCAAGACCUCUGCUCUCUACUUCUCCUAGGCCUCCCCAGGGAGAGAGGCAUGGUAGUGAGGGUUUUGUCUGACAUGUUCCCUUUUAGACUUGAGACAGUGCUGUUUGAAGAUGAUUGACAGAAUGCCCAAAGCCUCUUUGCUGCCAUGCCUAAGCUGGAGUUAGAAACCUUUCCUGUACCCUUUGUGCCCUCCCUAAGGCUACCUGGGCAGCAGAUGGGCCUACUGUGACCCAUGCCCUAUGCAAUGAGUCUUCCUCUCUUUCCUGUCCCCAGCAGGUCUCUGAGUUCCCUUCUUGUUGAUUCUUUAAAAUGCUAAUCUGGGUCUCUAGGACUCAUGGAGCCUUUUGCUCCCACAGAGCCCCAGUGUGGCUGCACCCAGCUGUGCACCAGCAUGCAGAGCCUCUCAAGUCCCCAGGCUGGAAGUGGUCGUGCAGAGAGUCCUUUCCCAUGUCAUCUGGGACUCUGAGCACCCGCUGAGGACAGGGACCCAGGAAGCUCAGGACAAACCUUCACUAAGCUUUAAACACAGUGGAUACAGCUGGCCGCUCAGUUCUGAGCCUCUGCCUGGAACUGGGUCGAUGCAGCAUCAGAUCAAAGCAGGAGCUUUGAAGCACCUCUGUGGGUGGGUCCUGGAGUGACAGGAAAAUCAGGAUCCUGUCUAGGUUGGGGAGACUGGGGAUAAUGGGGGGGGGGAUGAAAAAGCAGGUGUCCCACUAUGCCUUUGAAGGAAAGUGGUGGGAAGGGGCAACAUCCUGGAACAGAACGGAGGAUGGGGAAGCGGCAGGGAGUGGGUAACAUUCUAGAACAGAAGGAAUAGAAACGAGAGUAAAAAGUGAAAUGAAACAGAGAGAACUAGAGAGGACCCCCACCCCAGAAAAAGAAAAGGGGACGUAGAACACCAAAGUUGAUCACUUCCUGCUGGCAUCCUUUUCUCUAGCACAGAUGGGUGUGGCUAGAAUAGAUGGGGCCCCAUUCCAGAGAAUGAAACACAUAUACACAGUAAAUCACAGAAUCCUGCUGGCAGAUUCCUGACACAUUUUUUGUCUGUCUAUCAUCUAUCCUCCAUCCGUCUUUCGUUUGCUUGCUCUCACUGCUCGAUCCCUCUCUUCUCACUCUUUUUUCCUUUCUCAGGAAGAAAACAUGCUUGAGAUGUAGGGUGUGCCUGUGCAGCACAUCCUGGGGUACCCUUUUAGUCUGGACAGCCUCAAGGAUUGUACUGGCUGUGGACAAGGGAUGGGGAAUCCUGGCUGUGUGUUAGGAGGUGGGGACCCAACAAGAAUUCCCUUCAUUGUGUUCACAUCACCACAACGGAUGAGGAUUGGUAAGAGCAAGAGACAACAGAAACAACAUCCAGAAAAGACAGCCCAGGCCAUCCAGCUUUUGUGUAUAGAGAUUCCUACAGAAUCAAACCAAAGGCAAAGUCCUGCUCCAUGAUAUGAAGCCCAUGCCUGGCACUGUGAUAGGGCUAUGAACCUACAUCUAGAUACAAUGAUGCAGAUGCACCUAUGAACUCACAGCGACUUUGACAGCAUGCAAAACACCCGAGCAAGCUCAAGCCAGACAACCCCAGCACAGAAUGGAGGAGGUUUGGGAGACACACCCACCCCUCUGAGCAUGUCUGCAAUGGUGUCCAGAGAAGACUUUCUAAGGAAGAAGGACCUACUCUGCCUGUGAACAGCACCAGUCUGUAGGCUGACUAAAAAGAAGAAAGCCAUUUUCCCCUUGAGCGGAGCACCAGCUUUGUUCUUCCUCUGUCCAGAUGGGAGAAAGACCCUGCUGCCUUCCCAUGGGUGUGAUGGGACGAGCCCUGAAUUGCAAGAGCGAAGUUAAAAGCAUCUUCUGGGGACAAGAUGUCUCUCCUCUUUGCUCCUCAGCCAGCAUCUCUGAAGAGAAGUCAUGGUCCAUUACCAAAGUGGAAAAUCUUCACAGCUGCUGCUCUGAGGAACAAUCAACUAAGAAGAAGCACAGCCCAGUGGAAGGAACCUUAAGCCAGUGGUGCAAUCCAACUCUGCCAUUCAUGAGCUGAGCCAGUCUCUCAACCUCUCCUGACUUCCUUUUCCAUAUGCACUUAGUGACAAAGGUGGAGAGGCAUAGUGACAGGGGUCUGGAUGAAAGGGUGAGGGUCCUGAGAUGACAGAAGACAGUUUUUAACAGGAAUCACUGUGAAAGGUGAUGGGCAGGUAUUGCAAAGAGUGCCUUCCAAAUGAGGCAGUCUGAGGAGAUCUGUGAGCCUGUCCUUUCACUGACCCUGUCUGACAGGCCAAGCAUAGGCUCAGGAAAACAGCAGAGGGAGAGGGUAGGGCUCUGCCAUGGAAGAGCUUACAGCAUUUCCAUCGUGGGUCAGGGAAGUGGAUAUUGAUAAUGUCAUGGGAUAUGUAGUUAAUACAGUGAAGAAGAGAGACAGUCAUCCCUCAGUGUUCAUGAAGGGCCUGCCAUUGAUCAGAACUUCCUGUGAACAUCAGAACCUUGGGUGAUGUAUCCCAUAACAAGGUGAGGAGUGUGUGUGAACAGAACCUGUAUGUUUGAACUUGCAUCUAGAGCAUUUAUUGUACCCAGACACAUGAAUGCUGUAAAAGUGAAAAGUCAA
rnacentral:sRNA from 1 species